UGCCCCAUGGCUGAGUUGGUUACAGCGUCCGACUGUUAUAAUCCAUAGGUAGCAUGAUAAUCGGAAGGUCGUGAGUUCGAGCCUCACUGGGGCAG